UGGCGGACUCCUCCUCCUCGUCAUCGUUGUUUACGUUGACGUAGUUCCGCCCCUGACCGUCCGCGUGCUGCUGCCACACACACACACACACACACACACACAGCUCAGUGUGAAGAAGGCUCGCGACCAACGGUUACCACUUAACGCCAACGCACUACCGUUAACCGGGAGGAUAACCGGAGAACUACAGAAGCGACCGGAGCUAACGGCUGACGUAAAGCGUCCUAUGAUGGAGGAGCUCCAUGACGUCCAGCUGACUGAGAUCAAACCUCUCCUGACGGGACAGAACGGGAGAAAUCUGCAGGACUUUGACUGUCAGGUGAGUUCAGCC